CCGGAUUAAUACCGCAUACGCUCUACGGAGGAAAGGGGGGGAUCUUAGGACCUCUCGCUACAGGGGCGGCCGAUGGCAGAUUAGCUAGUUGGUGGGGUAAAGGCCUACCAAGGCGACGAUCUGUAGCUGGUCUGAGAGGACGACCAGCCACACUGGGACUGAGACACGGCCCAGACUCCUACGGGAGGCAGCAGUGGGGAAUUUUGGACAAUGGGCGAAAGCCUGAUCCAGCAAUGCCGCGUGUGUGAAGAAGGCCUUCGGGUUGUAAAGCACUUUUGUCCGGAAAGAAAUCCUGCGGGUUAAUACCCUGCGGGGAUGACGGUACCGGAAGAAUAAGCACCGGCUAACUACGUGCCAGCAGCCGCGGUAAUACGUAGGGUGCAAGCGUUAAUCGGAAUUACUGGGCGUAAAGCGUGCGCAGGCGGUUCGCUAAGACAGAUGUGAAAUCCCCGGGCUUAACCUGGGAACUGCAUUUGUGACUGGCGGGCUAGAGUAUGGCAGAGGGGGGUAGAAUUCCACGUGUAGCAGUGAAAUGCGUAGAGAUGUGGAGGAAUACCGAUGGCGAAGGCAGCCCCCUGGGCCAAUACUGACGCUCAUGCACGAAAGCGUGGGGAGCA
rnacentral:rRNA from 1 species